CCAUGCCCUGUUCCUAUACUCCCGUAUUCUUGAUCGUGAACCCUAGUGUACCGACCUCCGCUUGUCCUCCGACCGACCCCACCUGCUCUCUAUGCCUGAUGUCUUAGUUACCGCUGCUCUACUUGACUGUCUGCAUGAUCCCCGACCUUGAAACCUGCGUCUCCGGAGUCCUGCAUUCGGGUCCUCCUCCGUACCGAUGGGUCGUAACAGAACAAUCUGGCCAACACAGGACCCAGCAGGAAAGACCCGGCGUUGCUGCGCGAGAAUGUCUUGGUACAGAAGAGUGGGGUAGUUGCUGAUCCUGAGCAGUGGAGACUGAGAACCCUACCCAAUCAAUUGAAGGGAUGUAUCGGAACCAGGGAUCCAACCAAGAGCAAACUGGAAGAGGGGACAGGUCCCACACCGAGAGAUGCAGGGCUGUCUGCUGACCUCACCGAGGCGCCUCGGCAACUGACCACCUGGCCUCAGGGACCUAAUGACAGGUUGGAGGGAGAUCUGUCUUCUACGCAUACUGCAGGUAAAGUCUUCUUCUCAAUGCUGAAGGCAUCUGCGCAUGCCCAAACUUGAGCGCAUUAUAGGGAAUAGCCAUGUUUUAAGAAGUACACACGUUUUUAGGGUGACUUGUAGUGCCAUUUGUUCUCCAACAACAACAACGCUAUUUCCAGGUCAAUUGCACCUUUGGUAGUGUAUUUAGUGAGAAAAAUAGAAGACAAAGAAACAUGUAAAAGACUUAUUUUACCUACUGGAUAUAUACACACACUACACUACAUAAGCCCUAGACCACCAUGGGAUUUGUAG